CCUUGCCUCAGCUGUGGUCAGUCCUGUUCUUCCUCACAUUGUUGUCCUUGGGGAUCGACACACUGUUUGGGUCAGUAGAGACAAUCAUAGCGGGGAUAACCGAAGCCUUUCCUCAGAAUUUACAGAAGAAAAGAGUUCGUGUCACAGCUGGAGUUUGUCUAUGUAUUUUCCUGCUCUCUGUUCCAUAUACGACAAGGGGUGGAAUCUACCUCUUCCAACUUUUGGACUGGUAUGCCUCAUCAUUCAGCGUCCUGUUCAUUGGUUGCCUGGAGUGCGUGACGAUCUGCUGGAUUUAUGGUAUGGAAAGACCGUGAUGUUGAGAUUUGUUUUGUCGAAUUUCAGGUGAGCGGCAACAAACCAGAAACCAUUAUUUGGGCUAAACGUUUGUUCCAGUCGACUGCUAAAGCAUGUUGUCACACGCACAACCGUCGAUUGAUGAGUUCUGAGCCCAAUACUGAAAUGUGCCUUUGUGGACAUUAUGUGAUGCCAUGGAGUUUGAUUGACAAAAC